rnacentral:rRNA from 1 species
CCUACGGGAGGCAGCAGUGGGGAAUUUUGGACAAUGGGCGCAAGCCUGAUCCAGCAAUGCCGCGUGAGUGAAGAAGGCCUUCGGGUUGUAAAGCUCUUUUGUCAGGGAAGAAACGGUGGGAGCUAAUAUCUCCUGCUAAUGACGGUACCUGAAGAAUAAGCACCGGCUAACUACGUGCCAGCAGCCGCGGUAAUACGUAGGGUGCAAGCGUUAAUCGGAAUUACUGGGCGUAAAGCGUGCGCAGGCGGUUUUGUAAGACUGUCGUGAAAUCCCCGGGCUCAACCUGGGAAUGGCGAUGGUGACUGCAAGGCUAGAGUUUGGCAGAGGGGGGUAGAAUUCCACGUGUAGCAGUGAAAUGCGUAGAUAUGUGGAGGAACACCGAUGGCGAAGGCAGCCCCCUGGGUCAAAACUGACGCUCAUGCACGAAAGCGUGGGGAGCAAACAGGAUUAGAUACCCUGGUAGUCCACGCCCUAAACGAUGUCUACUAGUUGUCGGGUCUUAAUUGACUUGGUAACGCAGCUAACGCGUGAAGUAGACCGCCUGGGGAGUACGGUCGCAAGAUUAAAACGUCAAAGGAAUUGACGG